AAGAGCCCCAGACUCAGGAGAUGGCUGUAUUGACGCUUUGGGGAGUACAAGGGACAAAUGUCAACACUGCUUCAAUGUGACUCCAGGGGAUCUACACCUCUGGAAACUUUUAGAAUUGUCAUUUUUGUUUUUGGUUUCUUGGAACACAUCUAUUUUCUUUACCUUUUGAACCCUCAUGGCAUGACACCAAAGGAAUGAAAAUUGGUACAAACUUCAACAAUGAGGAGAAUGUGAAGAAGGUUUGCAGAGAAUAAACAAUGGUGUGAUACAUGGAUUACAGGAAGCAGGAGGAGAACUGAGGGCUGAUGAAGUGAGGUACACAUUGGAAGGUGCUGCGAAAAACAGACACACUGCUGGCGGUUGUCCAGGGCGAUUUUUCUUGAAUUCUGGAAGGGCACAGCACUUUAAUAGUGGACAAGCGGGAGGUACAGACUUAGAGGAAACCCCCUUAUUUCUUCAACCAGAGGUCAUGGCGGAAGGAUUGUUCCUCUCUGAAGAAAUUGAACAAGCUGUUGUUGGCUUGGGAGCUAAUGCCACAUCUGGGUCCAUGUCUACUCAGCCUGAAAUGGAGCCCAAUAGUCAGCCAUGUAUGUUGGUUUUCAUUGAAUUUAUGGUCAGUUUUGCCAAUCCCCCCAGUGAGUAAGUAUAUGAGAGAAUUGGGAUAUAUGAAAAAGAAACACUGUGAAGUAGAGAAAUGACCAAAAGGAAUAUAAGAUAUACUUCUGGGUAAAUAAGGAGCUUGAAUAAAAUGAAUUUGUAUCCUCUAGAGAUAUUGAUUAAGACUACAGAAAUUAAAUAAGAGGAAAAAAUCUAAUUAAAAAGUUGGAGGAUAAAAUAGAGGAAAAAUAAAAUAAAAAGAUAUAUAUGAAAUGAUGAAUAAAAAAACAAACAAACACUUAGAAUAAUCCAGAAUGGCCCAGUAGCUCAGUUAAUUAAAGGUUGUGAGUUUGAUCCCCAGCAAGGCUAGAAGCAACAAAUGAAUGCAUAAAAUGACUUUCCACUAGGAUUGUAUAACUAGCAAAAGUAAUUGUGAAUUUUAAAGGCAGAGUAAAAGAUAUUUGAAGACAGGUGAGAUGUUUACUUUUAAACGUUUAAAAAUAAUUAAUUUUUUUUUCAUCUAUAGUUGAUCUACAAUAUUAUAUUAGUUUCAGGUCUACACAUUUUUUUAAGAAGGUUAUUUGAGAACACACUCCUGCAAGAUGAGGGUGUAAAAAGCAAGCUAGAGGGAGAUGUAGGAUCUGGAGGCAGGAUCUCCAACCUCGAACAGUAGUGAAGAGAGAUACAGAUUAUAGUUUUGCUGCAGUGAGAGACCAGUACAGAUUUUACAGCCAAAGGAAACACUAAUUUGUAUCCUACACCAUCAAUGAAGAUAUCAUAAGCACAGAUAAGUUAGUUCAGUUGACUGGGAUCACACAGUGCUAAGUAUAGUAAGUUAGCGACUGGGACACAGCCAGGCUGACUUCCCAGCCUGAACUCUUACUCCUACCAUGAUGUUGUUUUUUUCUCAUAACUUAUCUUAAAGUGAUGAAAGGUUUCCACUGGGAAAAUGAAAACAGCAGUAUGUUCUAUGUGUGCAAAACCCUCAUUUAUUAGAGUCAGAUGUGCAAAAAAAGAAAGAAAAAAAAAAAGAAGGCUAUGUAAAAUCAUGAAAUUAACAAAUAACUUAAGAGAAAUCAAGAAAUAGUUUCUAAAGAAAUGAAGGUAACCACCAGGAGAGAAAAUUUAGACUGAAAGAUGAUUUAGUUGAGGGAGAGGGCAUGGGCAGGAGGAAGAGGAAGGCGAGAGAUAGCUUCUUUGCAUGUUAAGUCUUCCUCACCUUUUAAAAAAUUAAAUUACGGGAAGGUAUUACUUUGAAAAAAAAUUUAAUGCUAUUCCUGUGUACUCUUAAAAUGGCGAAUAGAGCUUAUUUGGAAGAUAAACCACAUGAGGAAUUAUAACAACAUGCAAAGGCAUGGAAGGGAAAAAGUUCAUGGCUUGGUGGAGAACAGUCUGGUUAGAUGACUUGGUGGUUGGGGGUUGGCAGGAGUCACUGGAGAUGACUGAAACAGUGGACCAGGGCAAAGCUGUGGAAAGCAUAGAAUGCCAUGUUAAGAAGUUUGGAAUUUCCUUUGUUGGCCAUGGGAAACCAUGAAAGAUUUUGAGCAGCGUGGUGCUGUCUGUGUUUUAGAAGGCUCUUCCUUAUGGCAGUUUGGAGCAAGGGUGCAAGUGUGUCUGGAAUUAAAAAAAAAUCUUCCUGACACUUUAGCUGUCUCUCUGAAUGGUGGUCUGUUGUCCCACACCCUUCUGUUGGCUGGGGUGGCCCCUGGCCAGCAACACACUGAUGUGGUGGCAAUGAGUGGGCCACGUGGCAUCAGCCUUCUCUGCCUUAUUUGAGAGCCACUAGGAGCCCACACCUGGGCGGUGUCUCAUUUCAGCUUUUUAGACCUUACUAUAAACUAUUUUUUGGUCAUUUUUCAAGACAUGUUUUAGCUUUUAGUACAGGAUUUUUACCAACUUCUCCCCACCCCCUUCCACACCCUUUAA